AUGCCUGAUAUUUAUAGAGCGAGUCUCAGACAGCUGUGUGCUAGGCAGUGGGGUUCAGCCACUCUUAAUGGAAGAACGCUUCAUAAAUGCAGUUCUAAUGGAAAUGUGCUGCCAAAAGACGCUCCGAGGAGUGAAUCUGUGAGACCCGUCAGGCCGUCUCUCAGCGGUGACCGGCGGGAUCUUUCACCGGGCUCACGCACACCAGGCCGCGUCACGCGCACCUGCUCGGAUAACAUUCCCAAAGGAGCCACACGUGGACUGAUCAGUUUUAAAAUGAACAAACAACCGAUAAAAAUCAGCCCCGUUCAAGGGAACAGGACACCCAAUAAGGUGUCCGAGACGCCUGGUUUCAGAGCCCAAUGUCAAACACCCACCGCAGGGAGAGACUUCACAGGAAACAACAGAUGGAGACCCAAAAGAGCAUCUGAUACUCUUCUCUGCCAUGAUGAGAACCAUACGGGCGCGUCUGAAAGCUCUUCGUUCAAGAUUCAUAGAGGCCUGGAUCCGGGGGAACUGGAGGAAGAAGAAACCGAAGGGACACAAAGCCACUCUCAGGUGAAAGAGGCACAGAGGUCGUCCACUUCAGAGGACACGGCACACAUUUCUCAGGAAGACCGCAGUUUAAAGUCAAUAGGAUCUGUUUGUGACGAUUCUAAGAACACUGCAAGCAAAAACAAGAACGGAAUUGUGUUGAAUGAACAAUCUGUUUCUAAACUGUCCAAUCAUGAACCAAGCCUCCGCUCAGGCCGCUCUCUUCAGGAAGCUCCAGCUAGGCAUCUGAGGACCUCUGGAGAAAGAGUUGCCACCUCUGUGCCUGAUAGAAAAGACCUACUCACUUCACCUCCAGAGAAUAAGAGCAAAGACCCCUUUGGGUCAUUUUACAACAACAGAUUGAGGAGGAAGCCCCCGGUUUUCUGCAAGACCUACAAGAGAUCCAAGCCUAGCUCCACAGAGCCAAUCGUGCUGUCCAGCGAUGAUGAAGGAGCCGAUGAGAUGAAUGACGUGUCUGGGAGUUUGCAGGAACAGCGGAUUUCUGAGGGGAUCAGGGACACUCAGGUAACGGAUAACGUGUAGAUUUAGAGCAUAUGUCCCUCCUGACUGCAUGUCAUAAAUAUUUACAUUUAUUUAUUUAGCACUUGCUUUUAUCCAACACAAAUUACGAAUGAUAAAUGUUUAAUGCUGCUUGUGGUUAAACACUCACAGAAGUCACUGAAUAAUUUAAUCAAACUCCGAUGGGAUGCUAAACUAAAAUUAUUUAUGGUUAAAGUUUAUUGUUAUUGAAUUAUUGUGUUUUUACUUUUCCUGCACUUUGAUGUAAAUGUAGAUUAAAUGCUUUGUUUUCAAUAAUGUGGCACAUUUUAUUUUAUAUAUAUUGAAUACAUAAACAUUAGGAAUGUAAAAAUUAUAACAUAAACCAUGAUUAUUAAAAUCUGUUAAUACUUUUUUAUUAUUAUUUGUUUAGUUAACAGGGACAUUAUACAUUAAUAAAACAUUUCUGUAAACGUACCAAAACUAGCCAAAGGUUAUUUUUCAUCCGUGGUUUCUGGAUUAAAUAAGUAUUGUAUGUGUAUGUCUUUAUUUUUUAAAUUAUUAAAAUAAAAGCAUGGCAUUUACAUGCAGAUGAGUUUACAUUUGCAUGCCUUUACACAUUAAAAUUGCAUAAUUAAAAAAAAAUUAAAAAUAAGCAUUUUUACACUGUAUAAAAUAAACAAGCUAUACACAAAUUUGAUUUUCCUUCGUUUUUUUUUUUUUUUUCUCUGAGAUAUUUUUUAUGUGUCCCAAAGGUGGACAAAAACAAAGACUCACCAAGGCUGCAUUUAUUUGAACGUAAAAACAGUAAUAAUGUGAAAUAUUAUUGCAAUUUAAAAUAACUACUUUCUAUUUAAAACAUUUUUAAACGUAAUUCAAUGUUAAAAAAUGCUAUACCUGUGAUGCAAAGCAUCGUUACUCCAGUUUCCAUGACACAUGAUCCUUCGGAAAUCAUUGUAAUAUGCUUGCUGUAAUAUGAUUUGCUGCUCAAUAAACAUUCAUUGGUUGCACUUUAUUUUACAGUACGUGUACUUACAUGUACUUAUAGUGUACUUACAGUGUAUUUAUCUAAGAAAGUUCCGGUAAU
rnacentral:lncRNA from 1 species